AUUGAACGCUGGCGGCAUGCCUUACACAUGCAAGUCGAACGGUAACGCGGGGCAACCUGGCGACGAGUGGCGAACGGGUGAGUAAUAUAUCGGAACGUGCCCAGUUGUGGGGGAUAACUGCUCGAAAGAGCAGCUAAUACCGCAUACGACCUGAGGGUGAAAGCGGGGGAUCGCAAGACCUCGCGCAAUUGGAGCGGCCGAUAUCAGAUUAGGUAGUUGGUGGGGUAAAAGCUUACCAAGCCGACAAUCUGUAGCUGGUCUGAGAGGACGACCAGCGACACGGGGACUGAGAAACGGCCGGGACGCCUGAGGGAGGCAGCAGUGGGGAAUUUUGGACAAUGGGCGCAAGCCUGAUCUAGCCAUGCCGCGUGCAGGAUGAAGGCCUUCGGGUUGUAAACUGCUUUUGUACGGAACGAAAAGACUCUGGUUAAUACCUGGGGUCCAUGACGGUACCGUAAGAAUAAGCACCGGCUAACUACGUGCCAGCAGCCGCCGUAACAC
rnacentral:rRNA from 1 species